AUUCCAGCUCCAAUAGCGUAUAUUAAAGUUGUUGCGGUUAAAAAGCUCGUAGUUGGAUUUCUGCUGAGGACGACCGGUCCGCCCUCUGGGUGAGUAUCUGGCUUGGCCUUGGCAUCUUCUUGGAGAACGUAGCUGCACUUGACUGUGUGGUGCGGUAUCCAGGACUUUUACUUUGAGGAAAUUAGAGUGUUUCAAGCAGGCACACGCCUUGAAUACAUUAGCAUGGAAUAAUAAGAUAGGACCUUGGUUCUAUUUUGUUGGUUUCUAGAGCUGAGGUAAUAAUUAAUAGGGACAGUCGGGGGCAUUUGUAUUCAAACGACAGAGGUGAAAUUCUCGGACCGUUUGAAGACAAACUACUGCGAAAGCAUUUGCCAAGAAUGUUUCAUCA
rnacentral:rRNA from 1 species